rnacentral:lncRNA from 1 species
GUCCGUUAACUUAUCUAAAAUUGUAAAAACUGGUUUCCUCUGCAUACUAAUGAGCUUAAUUAUUUUACCAAACUAGGGAACAAGAAAUCUUCAUAGGGAUACAUAGAUUGAACAUUUUCUAAAUGAAUCCACAGAACUCUGUGUCUCACCUGCAGUUGCUGCUGUUAGUGUAAAAGUGUGAUGUUGACUAUAAAAGUGAGUAUAUUUAUCAGUAAAAUACAGAAUUUAAAAAAUUAUGUAUGUGCAUGCAUCAUACUCCAUCCAUGAACUAUGGAUAAUAAAAACAAUGUUAUAGCAAUGACUAAAAAAUAUUCAUAGAUCUAAUUUUAAGGGUUAACUUAUUAUAGCUCUUCAUCUUUUAUAUACGCUUUGGAUUUUAAAUAUUUUGGCCACGAGCAUCACUGAAGAGACAAGUGUUGUCGAAAUGCGCAUCUGGUGCAGAAAAAUUGGUACCGUUAAUGUUAUUAUUAAAUUUUUGUCGAGCCUGCAACUUUUGUUGCAGAAAGCUCGACAUAGGGAUAGUGAUCCGGCGGCGGCGGCGGCGGCGUUAGCUAACUUCUUAAAAGCUUUAUAUUUUAGAAGGUAGAAGACCUGGAUGCUUCACAAAUUGUAUAUAGAUGCCUCAUGUUACGAACUUUUGGUCAGUAACAUGUCCAAUGUCCUUGACCUCAUUUUCAUGGUUCAGUGACCACUUGAAAAAAAAGUUAAUAUUUUUUGUAAUGUUAAAUUCUCUCUUAUUAUAACUAAUUGGAUAACUAUAUUUGGUAUGUGCAUACCUUGCAAGUUCUUCAUGCCCGUCAGACAGUUUUCACCUGACCUCGACCUCAUUUCAUGGAUCAGUGAACAAGGUUAAGUUUUGGUGGUCAAGUCCAUAUCUCAGAUACUAUAAUCAAUAGGGCUAGUAUAUUCGGUGUAUGGAAGGACUGCAAGGUGUACAUGUCCAACUGGCCGAUGUCAUCUGACCUUGACCUCAUUUUCAUGGUUCAGUGGUUAUAGUUAGAUUUUUGUGUUUUGGUCUGUUUUUCUCUCAUAAUUUAUGCAAUAGAUCUUCUAUAUUUGUUGUAUGGAAUGAUUGUAAGGUGUACAUGUCUAGCGAGCAGAUGUCAUCUGACCUUGACCUCAUUUUCAUGGUUCAGUGGUCAAAGUUAAGUUUUUGAGUUUUGGCCUUUUUAUCUAAUACUAUAUGCCAUAGGUCAACUAUAUUUAGUGUAUGGAAAUAUUUUAUGAUCUAUAUGUCAGUCGUGCAGGUUUAAUUUGACCUUGAACUCAUUUUCAUGGUUCAUUGCUCAGUGUUAAGUUUUUGUGUUUUGGUCUGUUUUUCUUAAACUAUAAGUUAUAGGUCAACUAUAUUUGUUGUAUGGAAGCAUAGCUGUACAUGUCUGCCUGGCAUGGUUCAUCUGACCUUGACCUCAUUUUCAUGGUUCAUUGGUCUUUUUUUAGUUAUCUUGGUUAAUGUUAAGUUAAGUUUAUGUGACAGUCUUUAAUAAAGCUUUAUACUUAGGACUAUCAACAUAAUAUCAAUGAUAAGUAAAGAAGGCGAGAUAUUUCAGCGUGUGCACUCUUGUUUAUCUUGUUCUAGUUUAUCAUGGAGACUGCAAUGAUAAAUUAUAAAUCACAAAAAAUCCUUAAUCUCACCAUUGCACGUGUCAGAAAUGCUAAAUAUAUGGACUCAUCUUAAAAUUCCUUAAUAAUAACCCUGAUUGGUAAGGUUACCGUAGUAUUUGAUGAUUAUUUAAGAAAAUUGUACCCUGAAUUUUAUUUUUAGAUUUCAGCAACAGAAUGAAGAAUUCCAAGAGUCUAAUACGGUUUAUUAAACAGGAUUUUAUCAUUGAAUCAACAUCCUACAAGAAUAUAACAUACAAAUAAGUAAUUAUGUGCAGGGAAGAACAUUUAAACAAAACUGUAAGAGACAUACAGUGGUGGUGUAUUUUUAAAGAGACCGCAAGAACCUAUAAUAACUUGCCAUGAGUGUAUAUUUUCCAAACCAGAAGCUCGUUCAUAAUAAUAUACAAUUUAAAUUAAAAUUAUUGUAUGAACAUUACAGAUAAAGUCUCAAAAGAGAAAAUUUAGUUUUAAAUGAAACAUUUAAGUACAAAACAUUGAAAUAGUCCUUUCCAUGUUGUGUGACAUGUAGAAAUUUUAUGCUUUCACCAUUCAUGUAGCUCCAUAUAGAGGAAUGGGUCCCUGUCCCCCUCCCCCCCCAAAAAAAAAACGCAUUCGUAUCCGACAGCAAUCAAUCGAUAAAAAACACCAAAC